CCUAACUCCAUUAAGCCACUUCGCAUCAAAUAAAUCCCACUGAACAAUUGCUGGACGAUCUGCGCUUCAUUAUUCAAGAACUUCCACGAACAGGCUCAACAGGGACCAGGAUACAGAGUCAGACGUUUCCUGGACCCUCGGAGUCAUGUCAGUGGAGGGAAAUCAUGCCCAUCUGUGCGCGCCUUGUGUCAGCCUCUCAGGGUUCCCAGUGUUGUUUUAGGGUCACAGACAGAGACGAACAAAAGAAGCAGUAAAAAUGACCCUUACACACAGAGUGGAUCAUCUUUUCUUUAAUGCAGGGCGUGGAUGCCUAAGGCCCCCUUUAUUUCUUUUGGCAUACUUGUACUUCAUCUUCAGUUUGUUGCUGACCUGUUAUGUUUUAUAUUUUUAUUUUGCACAAAUCCAUUUCAUUAAUUUAAUACAGUUUUCAUCAUGAAUAAUUUUGUCUAUAUUACACAGUAUUUGAGCAGGACAUGAAAUUAUGACAUCAGGCUUAUUAGCAUUUGAUAUAUCCCCUUUUUCCAUUACCGUUUUCCUUUCCAUGGGGGUGGCAGGGACUCCAAAUUACUGAUGAAAAACCUGAUGAACCACGAGCUUGAGGAUUUCCCACAGAGCCUGUGUGCAUUGCAGACAUCUGUAUUUUUGUGUAAUAGAUUUAUAAUCAUCAAGGUCACAGAUUUCCUUAGAAGUAUUGUUUGCUUUAAAUCAAAUCCUUAAACCUACUACUUUAUGCCAGGUGUAAAUUUGAUUUUAAAUCCUGCAUUUUUCAGGUAGCAUCAGACUUUGGCAACCACUGGAUAUACAAAAGCAUGAGUAUUGAAUCUCUUAUAACUUCCUCCUGAUGGAGUUGAGCUCCUCAACAGACUCAGUGGUUUCUCCGGUUACGAAUGACACCUGAAAAAAGCAGAAACACAAAGAGUGCUGAUGCAUUUCUUAAUUCUUAUUUUCUCAUUUUCAUGUUGACAAUAUGCAUUAAAGAUAGAGGUAUUUGCCAUUAGAUUUUAUGUCUUUUCUUGUAGAGAAUGCCAUGCAUUUGUCUCCUGGGAUCGUUUGAUGGAAAUGUUAAAUUAGCUGUUAUUUUUUUUACUGUACAGUCAGUAUUAAGUUACUGUGGUUAUUGUGGAACACCCUUGUAGAAAUGUAUAAUAUCUGCUCAUGAUAAGUUUCUGUGCUUCUGAAUAGAUCCCACCCUGAUUUUGCCGCGGCCUCUGUGUGUCUGCCGGUGGCAGAAGGAAUUGUGUCACGUGAAAUGCAAUACUGAUUCUUUGUUAUAUUUGUUAGGAAAUCUCCCCAUCUUGGUGACUCUUUGUGCACAUACACACAUUUACUCAGCAAAAAUGAGAAAUAGACGUUUGUUGAUUUAUACAUAGCCUACAGUAGAUAAAUAUAAUUACUUUAAACUAAC